AGGUUAUUGCAUUCAUGAAGCUGCCCUGAAAUUGCUUUCAGAUCUCAGAGGAAGAAACACCUAAGCCCACUGGGGAGGAAAAUGCACUACAAUUAUCUGAGAUCAUGGGAAAAGCUGAAAUGUGGCUCAUUCAAAACUACUGGUGUUUGGAAUUUCCUCACCCACCCUUACCUAAUUUUGAAUUUGCUGUAGGACCCUACUGCAAACCUGUCAAACCCCUGUCUAAGGUAAACCUAUUCCUAGUUGUUU